rnacentral:lncRNA from 1 species
AUGGAAAAAGGAAGAGAGUUCCAGAAAAACAUCUAUUUUUGCUUUAUUGACUAUGCCAAAGCCUUUGACUGUGUGGAUCACAAUAAACUGUGGAAAAUUCUUCAAGAGAUGGGAAUACUAGACCACCUGACCUGCCCCUUGAGAAACCUAUAUGCAGGUCAGGAAGCAACAGUUAGAACUGGAGAUGGGACAACAGACUGGGUCCAAAUAGGAAAAGGAGUACGUCAAGGCUGUAUACUGUCACCCUGCUUAUUUGACUUAUAUGCAGAGUACAUCAUGAGAAAUGCUGGGCUGGAAGAAGCACAAACUGGAAUCAAGAUUGCUGGGAGAAAUAUCAAUAACCUCAGAUAUGCAGAUGAUACCACCCUUAUGGCAGAAAGUGAAGAGGAAUUAAAAAGCCUCUUGAUGAAAGUGAAAGAGGGGAGUGAAGAGGUUGGCUUUAAGCUCAACAUUCAGAAAACGAAGAUUAUGGCAUCUGGUCCCAUCACUUCAUGGGAAAUAAAUGGGGAAACAGUCGAAACAGUGUCAGACUGUAUUUCUUGGGGCUCCCAAAUCACUGCAGAUGGUGACUGCAGCCAUGAAAUUAAAAGAUGCUUACUCCUUGGAAGAAAAGUUAUGACCAACCUAGACAGUAUAUUCAAAAGCAGAGACAUUACUUUGCUGACUAAGGUCCAUCUAGUCAAGGCUAUGGUUUUUCCUGUGGUCAUGUAUGGAUGUGAGAGUUGGACUGUGAAGAAAGCUGAGCACCAAAGAAUCAAUGGUUUUGAACUGUGGUGUUGGAGAAGACUCUUGAGAGUCCCUUGGACUGCAAGGAGAUCCAACCAGUCCAUCCUAAAGGAGAUCAGUCCUGGGUGUUCUUUGGAAGGACUGAUGCUAAUGCUGAAACUCCAAUACUUUGGCCACCUUAUGCGAAGAGUUGACUCAUUGGAAAAGAUUCUGAUGUUGGGAGAAAUUGAGGGCAGGAGGAGAAGGGCACAACAGAGGAUGAGAUGGCUGGAUGGCAUCACUGACUCGAUGGACAUAAGUUUGGGUGAACUCUGGGAGUUGGUGAUGGACACGGAGGCCUGGCGUGCUGUGAUUCAUGGGUUCGCAAAGAGUAGGACAUGA